GUUACGCUAAUACCGCAUAUUCUCUCCGGAGGAAAGCAGGGGACCGCAAGGCCUUGCGCUCUUUGAGCGGCCGAUAUCAGAUUAGCUAGUUGGUGAGGUAAAGGCUCACCAAGGCGACGAUCUGUAGCGGGUCUGAGAGGAUGAUCCGCCACACUGGAACUGAGACACGGUCCAGACUCCUACGGGAGGCAGCAGUGGGGAAUUUUGGACAAUGGGGGCAACCCUGAUCCAGCCAUGCCGCGUGAGUGAAGAAGGCCUUCGGGUUGUAAAGCUCUUUCGGCCGGGAAGAAAUCGCAUGGGCCAAUACCCUGUGCGGAUGACGGUACCGGCAUAAGAAGCACCGGCUAACUACGUGCCAGCAGCCGCGGUAAUACGUAGGGUGCGAGCGUUAAUCGGAAUUACUGGGCGUAAAGCGUGCGCAGGCGGUUUUGUAAGACAGGCGUGAAAUCCCCGGGCUCAACCUGGGAACUGCGUUUGUGACUGCAAGGCUAGAGUACGGCAGAGGGGGGUGGAAUUCCACGUGUAGCAGUGAAAUGCGUAGAGAUGUGGAGGAACACCAAUGGCGAAGGCAGCCCCCUGGGUCGAUACUGACGCUCAUGCACGAAAGCGUGGGUAGCAAACAGGAUUAGAUACCCUGGUAGUCCACGCCCUAAACGAUGUCAACUAGGUGUUGGUGGGUAAAACCAUUUAGUACCGGAGCUAACGCGUGAAGUUGACCGCCUGGGGAGUACGGCCGCAAGGUUAAAACUCUAAGGAAUUGACGGGGACCCGCACAAGCGGUGGAUGAUGUGGAUUAAUUCGAUGCAACGCGAAAAACCUUACCUACCCUUGACAUGUCCAGAAGCCUGAAGAGAUUUGGGUGUGCCCGAAAGGGAACUGGAACACAGGUGCUGCAUGGCUGUCGUCAGCUCGUGUCGUGAGAUGUUGGGUUAAGUCCCGCAACGAGCGCAACCCUUGUCGUUAAUUGCCAUCAUUCAGUUGGGCACUUUAACGAGACUGCCGGUGACAACCGGAGGAAGGUGGGGAUGACGUCAAGUCCUCAUGGCCCUUAUGGGUAGGGCUUCACACGUCAUACAAUGGUCGGUACAAAGGGUUGCCAAGCCGCGAGGUGGAGCCAAUCCCAGAAAGCCGAUCGUAGUCCGGAUCGUAGGCUGCAACUCGCCUGCGUGAAGUCGGAAUCGCUAGUAAUCGUGGAUCAGCAUGUCACGGUGAAUACGUUCCCGGGUCUUGUACACACCGCCCGUCACGCCAUGGGAGCGGGUUCCGCCAGAAGUAGGUAGCCUAACCGCAAGGGGGGCGCUUACCACGGCGGGGUCCGUGACUGGGGUGAAGUCGUAACAAGGUA
rnacentral:rRNA from 1 species